UACGUAGGGGGCAAGCGUUGUCCGGAAUCAUUGGGCGUAAAGCGCGUGUAGGCGGCUUGGUAAGUCCGCUCUGAAAGCCCGGGGCUCAACCCCGGAACUGCAUUGGAUACUGCCUUGCUAGAGUACUGGAGAGGGAACUGGAAUUUACGGUGUAGCAGUGAAAUGCGUAGAGAUCGUAAGGAAGGCCAGUGGCGAAGGCGAGUUCCUGGACAGUUACUGACGCUGAGGCACGAAGGCCAGGGGAGCAAACGGG
rnacentral:rRNA from 1 species